GAUGAACGCUGGCGGCGUGCCUAAUACAUGCAAGUAGAACGCUGGAGAUCUAGCUUGCUAGAUCGAAGGAGUGGCGAACGGGUGAGUAAUACAUAAGCAACCUACCCACGAAGACUGGGAUAAUCUCUGGAAACGGGGACUAAUACCGGAUAGGUAAUCGGAAGGCAUCUUCUGGUUAUUAAAGGUUAAAAACACUGGUGGAUGGGCUUAUGGCGCAUUAGUUAGUUGGUGAGGUAACGGCCCACCAAGACGAUGAUGCGUAGCCGGCCUGAGAGGGUGAACGGCCACAUUGGGACUGAGACACGGCCCAGACUCCUACGGGAGGCAGCAGUAGGGAAUUUUCGGCAAUGGGGGCAACCCUGACCGAGCAACGCCGCGUGAGUGAAGACGGCCUUCGGGUUGUAAAGCUCUGUUGUAAGGGAAGAACGGUAGAUAGAGAAUAUCUAAGUGACGGUACCUUACCAGAAAGCCACGGCUAACUACGUG
rnacentral:rRNA from 1 species